rnacentral:rRNA from 1 species
UACGGGGGGGGGCAAGCGUUUGUUCGGAAUUACUGGGCGUAAAGGGCGCGUAGGCGGUUUGCUAAGUUGGACGUGAAAACUCUGGGCUUAACCCAGAGCCUGCAUCCAAAACUGGCAGCUAGAGUUUUGGAGGGGGAAGCGGAAGUUCCUGGGUUGAGCAGUGAAAUGCGUAGAUAUCAGGAGGAACACCGGUGGCGAAGGCGGCUUCCUGGACAAAAAACUGACGCUGAGGCGCGAAAGCUAGGGGAGCAAACAGG